rnacentral:rRNA from 1 species
CAUUAUCGAGUUCGUGCCCGCUAUGGGUAGACCUCCCACCCUCUGUUAUCAUUACCUUUGUUGCUUUGGCGGGCCGUCCGGCCUCGGUCAGGCUACCGGCUCCGGCUGGUAAGCGCCCGCCAGAGGACCCCAAACCCUGAAUCUUUAGUGUCGUCUGAGUACUAUCUAAUAGUUAAAACUUUCAACAACGGAUCUCUUGGUUCUGGCAUCGAUGAAGAACGCAGCGAAAUGCGAUAAGUAAUGUGAAUUGCAGAAUUCAGUGAAUCAUCGAAUCUUUGAACGCACAUUGCGCCCCUUGGUAUUCCGAGGGGCAUGCCUGUUCGAGCGUCAUGACAACCCUCAAGCGUAGCUUGGUCUUGGGCACCGCGGCUCACCCCGCGGGCCCCAAAAUCAGUGGCGGUGCCGCCGGGCCCUGAGCGUAGUAAAUCUCCUCGCUACAGGGACCCGGUGGACGCUGGCCAUCAACCCCAACUUCUCUAAGUUUGACCUCGGAUCAGGUAGGGAUACCCGCUGAACUUAAGCAUAUCAAUAAGCGGAGGAAAAGAAACCAACAGGGAUUGCCUCAGUAACGGCGAGUGAAGCGGCAACAGCUCAAAUUUGAAAUCUGGCUCUUUCAGGGUCCGAGUUGUAAUUUGUAGAAGAUGCUUCGGGUGUGGCUCUGGUCUAAGUUCCUUGGAACAGGACGUCAUAGAGGGUGAGAAUCCCGUAUGUGACUGGCAGCCUUCGCCUAUGUGAAGCUCUUUCGACGAGUCGAGUUGUUUGGGAAUGCAGCUCAAAAUG